rnacentral:rRNA from 1 species
AUUGAACGCUGGCGGCAUGCCUUACACAUGCAAGUCGAACGGCAGCACGGGAGCAAUCCUGGUGGCGAGUGGCGAACGGGUGAGUAAUACAUCGGAACGUGCCCAAUCGUGGGGGAUAACGCAGCGAAAGCUGUGCUAAUACCGCAUACGAUCUACGGAUGAAAGCAGGGGAUCGCAAGACCUUGCGCGAAUGGAGCGGCCGAUGGCAGAUUAGGUAGUUGGUGAGGUAAAGGCUCACCAAGCCGUCGAUCUGUAGCUGGUCUGAGAGGACGACCAGCCACACUGGGACUGAGACACGGCCCAGACUCCUACGGGAGGCAGCAGUGGGGAAUUUUGGACAAUGGGCGAAAGCCUGAUCCAGCCAUGCCGCGUGCAGGAUGAAGGCCUUCGGGUUGUAAACUGCUUUUGUACGGAACGAAACGGCCUUUUCUAAUAAAGAGGGCUAAUGACGGUACCGUAAGAAUAAGCACCGGCUAACUACGUGCCAGCAGCCGCGGUAAUACGUAGGGUGCAAGCGUUAAUCGGAAUUACUGGGCGUAAAGCGUGCGCAGGCGGUUAUGUAAGACAGUUGUGAAAUCCCCGGGCUCAACCUGGGAACUGCAUCUGUGACUGCAUAGCUAGAGUACGGUAGAGGGGGAUGGAAUUCCGCGUGUAGCAGUGAAAUGCGUAGAUAUGCGGAGGAACACCGAUGGCGAAGGCAAUCCCCUGGACCUGUACUGACGCUCAUGCAUGAAAGCGUGGGGAGCAAACAGG